rfam:Pteropus alecto contig106335, whole genome shotgun sequence.
UCUAACAGCCAUGCUACCCUAACCUGAACGUGCCCAAUCUUGUCUGAUCUCAGAAGCUUAGCAGGGUCGGGCCUGGUUAGUACUUGGAUUGGAGACCACCUAGGAAUACCAGGUGCUGUAGGCG